GAUGAACGCUGGCGGCGGGCCUAAUACAUGCAAGUCGAACGAAACUUCUUUAUCACCGAGUGCUUGCACUCACCGAUAAAGAGUUGAGUGGCGAACGGGUGAGUAACACGUGGGCAACCUGCCCAAAAGAGGGGGAUAACACUUGGAAACAGGUGCUAAUACCGCAUAACCAUAGUUACCGCAUGGUAACUAUGUAAAAGGUGGCUAUACUACCGCUUUUGGAUGGGCCCGCGGCGCAUUAGCUAGUUGGUAGGGUAAAGGCUUACCAAGGCAAUGAUGCGUAGCCGAAUUGAGAGGUUGAUCGGCCACAUUGGGACUGAGACACGGCCCAAACUCCUACGGGAGGCAGCAGUAGGGAAUCUUCCACAAUGGGCGAAAGCCUGAUGGAGCAACGCCGCGUGGGUGAAGAAGGUCUUCGGAUCGUAAAACCCUGUUGUUAGAGAAGAAAGUGCGUGAGAGUAACUGUUCACGUUUCGACGGUAUCUAACCAGAAAGCCACGGCUAACUACGUG
rnacentral:rRNA from 1 species